CCGCGGCUCCGCUUAGCUAGGUGGCUGCCUCCAUGUCCUCCCUCGAACCAUCUGAUAGUUUUAAGCGGUGACAGGAGCAGAAAAGACCCCUGUAGCGGCGCUUCAUUAAUGUGCCACUUCUUAGCUAUCAUAUGACAAUCGCCUUGGGAGGAGGAGGAAGAGGAGGGGGAGCGGGGGCUGCAGAGGGAGGGGACUGAGCGAGAGGGGAGAGCCUGGCCAGCUCUCAUUUCUUUCACACCUAUUUACAUGGACACCUUGGCCAAUAGGAAUCACUUCCAGCUCAAGACUGAGCGUGGGGGAAGAGCCUCGGCCACCGGAGGGGAGCAGGACGCGCUGGUCAGGGUGCACGGUGUGAAGAAAAAUCUCAAGUCAGAAGAAAGCUUUGCUGAGGCAACAUGAAGGCGUAAGACCCGAUGAAGGUAUACUGUACAGGUUUCUCCUCAGCCUGCUCAUUGAGGAAAGACCACUUGCUCACAGUGCCCAAGGUAAGCUCACUUUCUCUCCACCCCCAACUUAAUUUUUUUGCUCUCUGCCACCCACAGAUAUCUUGUCAUCCUCCAAGGCCUAGUUUACUUCCUGGCCCCAUACCCAUGCAGGAAACAUUCACUUGCAUUCCCCAGGGUCCUAACUUUGAUGAAUCUGGGGAGACAGAACAUACUGGGAUCUCAACCAAAGGACCAAGAGAGGAGGAAUAAAUCAGGACCAUGGGCAGGGCCUGGAGAAAGGCACGUGGGCACAGGGGCUGCUGGCCUCUGCAGGUCUAGCCCAGGGUAUGAAAUGCUGAGCCUGCAGUAGCUCAAAAUAUGGCUGGUCCUGGUGCUGUCCAGGGUACCCAUUUUGGCAAUCAGAGCAUAGCAGCCUGAGUAGGCUAGGUGCUGGUGGUCCUGAGGGUUAGGGGCAGAGGUUGAAAGAUUGUGGUCCUGGGUGAUACUCUUUUCCCUCUUUUCCUCAAAUGUUCAUCUUUCUCCUCCAGAUCCCGGGUUUGAUCCCUAGACUCACAUGGCUUAAGGAUCCAGUGUUGCUAUGAGCUGCAGUGUAGGUUGCAGAUGAGGUUUGGAUCCCACAUUGCUGUGGCUGUGGCAUAGGACAGCAGCUGCAGCUCUGAUUCCACCCCUAGCCUUGGAACUUCCAUAUGCUGCAGGUGAAAUACACACACACACACACACACACACACACACAUACACACCUACAUGGGCUGCAGCACAGAGACAUGUAACUGACUGCUGGGCUAAACCCA
rnacentral:lncRNA from 1 species